rnacentral:rRNA from 1 species
AGUGAACGCUGGCGGUAGGCCUAACACAUGCAAGUCGAACGGCAGCACAGUAAGAGCUUGCUCUUACGGGUGGCGAGUGGCGGACGGGUGAGGAAUACAUCGGAAUCUACUUUUUCGUGGGGGAUAACGUAGGGAAACUUACGCUAAUACCGCAUACGACCUACGGGUGAAAGCAGGGGAUCUUCGGACCUUGCGCGAUUGAAUGAGCCGAUGUCGGAUUAGCUAGUUGGCGGGGUAAAGGCCCACCAAGGCGACGAUCCGUAGCUGGUCUGAGAGGAUGAUCAGCCACACUGGAACUGGGACGCGGUCCAGACUCCUACGGGAGGCAGCAGUGGGGAAUAUUGGACAAUGGGCGCAAGCCUGAUCCAGCCAUACCGCGUGGGUGAAGAAGGCCUUCGGGUUGUAAAGCCCUUUUGUUGGGAAAGAAAAGCAGCAGGUUAAUACCCCGCUGUUCUGACGGUACCCAAAGAAUAAGCACCGGCUAACUUCGUG